UGAGGUAAGCUACCCAAAUUUCUUCAUUUACUUAAAUUCAUGAAAGCAUAGCCUAAAAGUACUUGUUUAGAAGAAUUUCUAUCCUCAAGUUCCUUGUGUGAGUUAAUAGUUUCUAUUUGACACAUUUGUUUUUGUCAAGUUUGUUAUUUCUGUAGUAAAGCUAAAAAUUAUAACCAUGAUCUAUUUUUUGUUUGAAAGUUAUUGUUUUAAUCCUUUUGAAGAUAAAUUGGUGGCCUGAGCUAAUAGCUAAAUCCGUAUCGCAAUGCUAGUGGCCUGUAAGCUAUGAAUAACAAUAGUUCUACUGGCUGUGAACUUGGCAUUUUCUUUUCAAGGCAAGGCAUGUGCGAGUAAUAAGGAAGACCAAAUCAGAGUAUCCUAACUACAUGGUCAUCAGUGAAAAACUCCUUAAAUUGAAAUCUUCAUCUCCUUGGUUCAAAAUUACUAAAAACCUAUACAUAUAUUGUCAAAAUCUAAGCUUUGUAUAUUCCAUUCCUGCAAGAAAAUGACACAUUACUUAGAGGUGCUACGGCAGGUUUUUAACUUUGUAUAAAGUUAAUGUAAAAAGUGAGAAAUGAUGACUAAGUGCACGGCCCUCCCUCUCCCUCUCUUCUCUCUUAGGUACUUCAUAUCAUCUCUCCGCAUUUUUGUUCAAGU
rnacentral:misc_RNA from 1 species